GUCCUUUGGUUUAUGAGCGUGGUGACUUGCAUGUUCAUGCCAUUGUGUGAGAUAUGCCUCCCUUUACACUUUUUAGGAAGUUGGCAUAUUACCUUGCCUAAUA